rnacentral:rRNA from 1 species
AUUGAACGCUGGCGGCAGGCCUAACACACGCAAGUCGAACGAGUGGUGGACGGGUGAGUAAUGUCUGGGAAACUGCCCGAUGGAGGGGGAUAACUACUGGAAACGGUAGCUAAUACCGCAUACCAUCGGAUGUGCCCAGAUGGGAUUAGCUAGUAGGUGGGGUAACGGAUCACCUAGGCGACUAUCCCUAGCUGGUCUGUGAGGAUGACCAUCCACACUGGAACUGAGACCCGGUCCAGACUCCUACGGGAGGCAGCAGUGGGGAAUAUUGCACAAUGGGCGCAAGCCUGAUGCAGCCAUGCCGCGUGUAUGAAGAAGGCCUUCGUGUUGUAAAGUACUUUCAGCGGGGAGGCGUUACCCGCAGAAGAAGCACCGGCUAACUCCGUGCCAGCCGCCGCGGUAAUUC